AAAAAAAAACAUGAAUUAAAUUUGCUUAAAAUCCUCAGAGAUCAUUGCUGGUUCAUGAUAAAAACAUCACCCUUUAUAUUAUAACGACAAGACUUAAUUCCGAAAUAUUGAAGAAACUUGAGUACACAAAUAGAGAUGGCGUGGUUUAAAGUUAAAACUCCCAAAAUGCACAUUUUUCACACUGACACUUACAAACUUUUGUCCCCAUAGCUUCAUUUGAGAGCGUUUAUAGGCGUGUUCAAUGCUAAAAAAUUACAUCUUUUCGAAAGUUCACCGUUAAAUUUAUAUUGGUAUCUAACCCGAAUUUUACCACU